GAGGACCCUCCUCCUCCUCCUCAACACCAUGAGAAAACUGUCAAACAGUACUUGCUCUCCAAACCUUCUGUCCUCACUGGGAUAUUUCAGAACAUCUGCAACUACUUCAAAACUGCCACAAACACAACCAUCCGCUAGAAUUUCACUGCAAAGUCCUGACCAGUGCAGUUUGCGAGAACCAUGACUCACGCGCCAUGAGGUCUCAUACGCAGAGGUUUCAUGUGAUACUGAUCACUGAUACCUGUGGACCGCCUGAACAAUGCAGGUGAAGAUGGAGGCGACGGAGGUCUACGAUGGUAUUGUUCCAGUUUACCUGAGAUGCAUUCAAAAGGACACUGCCCCAUCCUCUUCUUACAGCUAUAAUCGUCUUCGUUCUGGACUCCUGUAAAUCCAUCUGCUUCCAGAAUGCUUCGUCCCACCCUGUCUUCGACCCUGUCAUCCCCUGUAAUCCCAUCACUUGCUGCUUGGGCGGCCUGAAUUGAACGCAAAAACCUGGCAAAUAAUACAGGAUUCUUAAGUCUAAGACAACAGCACAAUACUAGCUGUGGCUGUUUUAUCUGUUUCAAAAGCCUGACAUUAAGUUGGCUUCAUCUUUGUGAAAUAAAAACAUGUGCUUGUGUUUU